rnacentral:rRNA from 1 species
AACUCUGUCUGCAUGGGACGGGGUUAAAGCUCCGGCGGUGAAGGAUGAGCCCGCGGCCUAUCAGCUUGUUGGUGGGGUAAUGGCCUACCAAGGCGACGACGGGUAGCCGGCCUGAGAGGGCGACCGGCCACACUGGGACUGAGACACGGCCCAGACUCCUACGGGAGGCAGCAGUGGGGAAUAUUGCACAAUGGGCGAAAGCCUGAUGCAGCGACGCCGCGUGAGGGAUGACGGCCUUCGGGUUGUAAACCUCUUUCAGCAGGGAAGAAGCGAAAGUGACGGUACCUGCAGAAGAAGCGCCGGCUAACUACGUGCCAGCAGCCGCGGUAAUACGUAGGGCGCAAGCGUUGUCCGGAAUUAUUGGGCGUAAAGAGCUCGUAGGCGGCUUGUCACGUCGGAUGUGAAAGCCCGGGGCUUAACCCCGGGUCUGCAUUCGAUACGGGCUAGCUAGAGUGUGGUAGGGGAGAUCGGAAUUCCUGGUGUAGCGGUGAAAUGCGCAGAUAUCAGGAGGAACACCGGUGGCGAAGGCGGAUCUCUGGGCCAUUACUGACGCUGAGGAGCGAAAGCGUGGGGAGCGAACAGGAUUAGAUACCCUGGUAGUCCACGCCGUAAACGUUGGGAACUAGGUGUUGGCGACAUUCCACGUCGUCGGUGCCGCAGCUAACGCAUUAAGUUCCCCGCCUGGGGGAGUACGGCCGCAGGCUAAGACUCGAAUGAAUGGACGGGGGCCGUCCCAGC